rnacentral:rRNA from 1 species
AUUGAACGCUGGCGGCAGGCCUAACACAUGCAAGUCGAACGGAUGAACGGUGCUUGCUUGUGGAUUCAGCGGGGGACGGGUGAGUGAUGCCCAGGAAUCUCCCUGCCUGUGGUUUAGAACGUCCGCAAGCGGGCGCUAAUACCGCAUACGUGCUGAGGGAGAAAGGGGGGGAGCUUCGGACCUUACGCUCUCAGAUGAUUGUAGGUCGGAUUAGCUAGUUGGUGGGGUAAAGGCCUACCAAGGCGACGAUCCGUAGCUGGUCUGAGAGGAUGAUCAGCCACACUGGAACUGAGACACGGUCCAGACUCCUACGGGAGGCAGCAGUGGGGAAUAUUGGACAAUGGGCGCAAGCCUGAUCCAGCCAUGCCGCGUGUGUGAAGAAGGCCUUCGGGUUGUAAAGCCCUUUUGUUGGGGAGGAAAAGCAGUAGGUUAAUACCCCGCUGUUCUGACGGUACCCAAAGAAUAAGCACCGGCUAACUUCGUG